UAAAGAAUUCAUGCCUACUUUCCCUGCACAGCAUGCACAAGAUAGGCGUGUGCGAAGAGUAAUGAAGAGUCCAGAUCCUCUUGAGGAGCAGCGAAGAAAGGAACUGAAGCAAGGGGUGUUGGGAACUGGUGGAUUGUUUGGCUAAGAUAAGUGAAUAGUGCUCAGUAACUGUUUGAGUUUUGCUUUCUGUAAUACUCAUGGGUUGACGUGGUUUGAGGCUAGAGCAAUGCACUUAUAGGAAGUUGCAAAAAUUGUUUGCUAGACGAUCAGUUCAGCUGUUUUUUAGCAGGCUUAUCUGACAAUUAGAUCAAGAAACAAUUCUUUUGGCUAUGCGUUAUCAGAUCUGUUGCAGGUUGACCUACUUGGCUCUGGUGUCUUGUCAAAAUCUCUGGGCCUGCUUGCAUGGCAUGGGUGGCAUAGUGAGCUUACCUGUUAAGGAACAGUUUCAAUUGAAACUCGUGUGUGUAACAUAUUACCCAUUGGCAGUGUAAACAAUGAUCUUGAAAUUGAUUUUGUUAAAACAUAUGGAUUGGUUUCGUAUUUCUAGUAUGCCGAUUUUAAUUUUCAUAUUCUGUUUGCAAGAAAUGGUGGUGUAAAGCUGAUGGGGAAUUCUUAGCUUUUUCAUUGAUGAAGAAUUUCAAUGAAACUAUAGCACAUAUGAAGUAUCAAGGAAAGCAGGUUGAGGAGCUUAUCUACAACCUGGCAUACAUAGAAUUUCAAAUUUAUUUUCCAUACUUCAGAUAUCGUAUUCUCUGCUCAAGCCAGUAAAGGUACUUACUGCCUCAUCUGCUAGAGAUGUACAAAUUUUAAGUUUUGAUAUCUUUUGCAUUCUUUUUUAGAUGGGGGAUUCUUAUUUUGAGCCUAUAAUUGGUCUGGCUGCAUUGAUUUUUGAUACUUCCUUUCAAAUCUUCUGUAUGUGGAAAGAUGACAAAUUGUUUUGCUGUUACCAUCUUCCUCCUACAUUCUUUAAGAGGCAAACUGGGUAUUUCUUGGUUUGUUGCAACAUGGAUUUCUGUAAGUUGAUUAAUACAAGGAGGAGCUAAGUGUUAUAUCUCCACCCCUGUUGAUUAAUUUUUAUUUUGUGUUCUGGUGGCAUUAUAAACCCUAUUUGGUUUGUAAUCCAAACUGCAAAGCUGUCAUUCUUUCAACUGUCCCUCUGCAAAAGAGAUGUAUAAACUCUUGGCCUUGAAUCUUUGCAACUGGGAGAAGUCUUGACAUUUUCAUUUGUUUAAUUUUAGUAACUUGCAUUGAGUCUUGAAAUUUCACUUAGCGACUCUUCUCUUUCUUGUAAUGAUAUUUAUUUUUGAUGGAGGGUGUGGUGAAGACCCUGAUUGUGACACUCAACUUUUUUUUAAAACCAUAACCCCCACCCACUCCCUCGAAUUGUUCAGACCAGAAAGAGCAGGUGAACCUGGUUGCAAAUGCCUUCCAGAAGGGGCUGGAAAUAGAAGAGUAAAGGCUUGUAACCACGUUUGGUCAUAUUUUUUCCUAUGAAUUGGGGUUUGAGGCAGGAACAUUAGAUUCAUAAGCCUGGAAGCUCAUCUACUAGCAGCAGGGAAGUGGGUGGGACAUAUUUCAAGGAAAUAGAUCUGUAACCAGUCCAGACUAGGGAUAAAUUGAUAGUUUUGUAGCUACUUGAAGUGAUUCUGUUAUUCUGGAAUGUUUUAAGGGCUAUGAAAUGGGAGAUGGAUGUUCAACAGUGGUGCUUGAAAGACAUGCAAAUAAAUAGCAGUUAAAAUAUUUUACUGGGUACUGUUACACUUGGUCUUUGAUAGUCAUCUCUACUUGAUUUUGUGGAGGUUCUUUCUUGCAUGUUUUGGUCACUGUUGUCUGCAGAAGUUCAGAAUUAGAGAAGGAGAAGAAAGGAGAGCUGUAGAGAGGCAAGAUGAAUAUGGCUGAUAGCACACACUCCUUGAAGAGAAAAAAUCGUAUGUUACUUGUAUUAUAAACCGUCUUGAUUCUCUUUUUGAAUAUGAUUGUAACUAAAUCACCUUUCAUAUUUCGUCAGUAUCUAAUGUCAUGCAGUGUUGUGUUGCAUCUUAGGACGGAGUUGGUAUCGAUCAUAAAUGUUGCACCAAGUUAACAGAAUGUAGAACACAUUUGCAGUGUUGUGCUUCAAGUCUCUUUAUGUAGUGGCUGUUGCUGUUGUCAACCCACGCUUCACACUUCUGACCUACUGUUAAGUAAUCCAUAUUUUAUUUAACCAAAACUUGAACCUAUUUCUGCUAGUACCAUCUUGUAAAUUAGGCAGUAAACAUUGAUAACAGAAGCAGUUUAGUCGAGAUGAAGACGACGUUAUCUGUGUGGCAGGUGAAAAAAAACAAAAAACACAUAUUACCUUGAAUUACUCCUUGUGCGUUUUAUGAAGGAGAUGAUGCAUAUGUCUAAAAGAUUAUCAUAUAAAAGAGGGUUUAUGAAGGAGAUGAUGCAUGGCUAGAAGAUUAUCAUAUAAAGGGUAGCAUGGCCAAUGCUGCUUGACAGGUGGAGAAAUGUACAAAGUACACGUAGAAUGGACAUCAUUAUCUUCAAAUGUCAUAUUGAAUUUUUUACGAAUAUCAUUUUUUUUUUCAAAUUUAUAUUUAUCAAAUUUUAUAUAAAAACAAGUUUUACUUCUUC
rnacentral:misc_RNA from 1 species